rnacentral:rRNA from 1 species
GAUGAACGCUAGCGGCAGGCCUAAUACAUGCAAGUCGAGGGGUAGAGGAGAGCUUGCUUUCCUUGAGACCGGCGCACGGGUGCGUAACGCGUAUGCAACCUACCCUUUUCUGGGGGAUAGCCCGGAGAAAUCCGGAUUAAUACCGCAUAAGACCACACGGCGGCAUCGUCGAGGGGUCAAACAUUUAUGGGAGAAGGAUGGGCAUGCGUGCCAUUAGCUAGUUGGCGGGGUAACGGCCCACCAAGGCUACGAUGGCUAGGGGAUCUGAGAGGAUGGCCCCCCACACUGGGACUGAGACACGGACCAGACUCCUACGGGAGGCAGCAGUAAGGAAUAUUGGUCAAUGGGCGCAAGCCUGAACCAGCCAUGCCGCGUGCAGGAAGACGGCCCUCCGGGUUGUAAACUGCUUUUGUACGGGAAUAAACCUUUCUUCGUGAAGGAAGCUGAAUGUACCGUAAGAAUAAGGAUCGGCUAACUCCGUGCCAGCAGCCGCCGUAA